rnacentral:rRNA from 1 species
GAUGAACGCUGGCGGCGUGCCUAAUACAUGCAAGUCGAGCGAACAGACGAGGAGCUUGCUCCUCUGACGUUAGCGGCGGACGGGUGAGUAACACGUGGAUAACCUACCUAUAAGACUGGGAUAACUUCGGGAAACCGGAGCUAAUACCGGAUAAUAUAUUGAACCUCAUGGUUCAAUAGUGAAAGACGGUUUUGCUGUCACUUAUAGAUGGAUCCGCGCCGCAUUAGCUAGUUGGUAAGGUAACGGCUUACCAAGGCGACGAUGCGUAGCCGACCUGAGAGGGUGAUCGGCCACACUGGAACUGAGACACGGUCCAGACUCCUACGGGAGGCAGCAGUAGGGAAUCUUCCGCAAUGGGCGAAAGCCUGACGGAGCAACGCCGCGUGAGUGAUGAAGGUCUUCGGAUCGUAAAACUCUGUUAUUAGGGAAGAACAAAUGUGUAAGUAACUAUGCACGUCUUGACGGUACCUAAUCAGAAAGCCACGGCUAACUACGUG